AAUGGAAAUACAUGUCCUCAAUAGUCCACAGUAUGAGUCAUAAUACCCAUGAAGCCUAGCGGUCAAAAGGAAAUGGUUCCAAUAAUUUGUCCACCAUUCAUUUUACCCCAUAGGGGAUUUUAGAAGCACUUAAAAUAAGGGCUGCGUUUCGUGUAGGCUUUCCCCGGAGUGACAUUUUGAUAACCAUGUACAGUUCUCUAGGACAAGGUGACUUUUAUCAAUAUAUUCGUCUGUAUUUACCCCACCAUAAUGAAAUGCUAAUUAGCUGCAAAUGUGGCUAUCAUAAAGAACUACAAAUGCCAUGAUGAUCUGGACGAGACUGACAAAUCUAGGCAAAGUAGCUACUAUCUUGCCUCAUCGCUACAACUCCCGUACGGGCUCGGGAGAGACGAAGGUUGAAAGUCAUGCAUCCUCCGACACACAACCCAACCAAGCCGCACUGCUUCUUAACACAGUGCGCAUCCAACCCGGAAGCCAGCCGCACCAAUGCGCCGGAGGAAACACCGUGCACCUGGCCACCUUGGCUAGCGCACACUGCGCCCAGCCCGCCACAGGAGUCGCUGGUGCGCGAUGAGACAAGGACACCCCUACCGACCAAGCCCUCCCUAGGCCAAUUGUGCGUCGCCCCACGGACCUCCCGGUCACGGCCGGUUACGACAGAGCCUGGGCGCGAACCCAGGGACUCUGAUGGCACAGCUGGCGCUGCAGUACAGCGCCCUUAACCACUGUGCCACCCGGGAGGCUCCAAGAGAGAUUUAUAUCGUUAUCAAAAUGUCACGCCAGGGUAAGCCUACACGAAACUGAGCCUUUCUUUUAAGUGUUUCUAAAAUCCCCUUUGGGAAAAAUUUAUGGUGGAAAAACGACUGGAACCAUUUCCCUAUUUGAACGCUAGGUUUUAUGGGUACUAAGACUCUUCCACUGUAGGGCUCUAUGAUUUAAAGGCAGGCGAGAUCAAGUGGGACCAUUCUAACCAAUGAGAGGGCAGAUACGCAUGUGAACAACAGGCACAAUUAAGUAAUUUUUCUCAAAGUUGCCACAAUGCCACAUGCAUCCACUUAUAUCAGUACAUUUGUAACAGCCUAAACAUUACUAAACAUAUUUUAUUUUGCUUCUUUACCCCCUUUUUCUCCCCAAUUGAGAUCCUGUCUCAUCGCUGCAACUCCCCUAUGGGUUCAUGCGUCCUUCAAAACACACUCCUUAACACCUGCCCGCUUAACCCGAAAGCCAGCCUCACCAAUGUGUCGAAAGGAAACACUGUUCAACUGACAACCAAAGUUAGCCUGCAGGCGCCCAGCCCACCACAAAAGUGUGAUGAGCCAAGUAAAGCCUCCACGGCCAAACCCUCCCCUAACCCAGACGAUGCUGGGCCAAUUCUGUGCCGACACAACCCAGGGUAGAACCCGGGUCUAUAGUGACACCUCAAGCACCACGAUACAGUGACUUAGACCUCUGCGCCACUCAGGGGGCCCACAUUUGCUAAACUUCUAUUAGAUCAAAUAAGCCUCAUGUAAUUUGACACUCUCAUAGACCUCCAUACAAAAAAUGCCUUAUCUCAUGAGGACAGAUUUUGGGCAGAGUAAUUCCUUUCUCUUCGCAUUUUCCUCUCUGGCUUCCCCAGCUGCUGUGAUUGCUGCGGAGAAGGUGGAGGUCAAAGAGGGGUGAGUGUAACCGAUGUGAAAUGGCUAGCUAGUUAGUAGUAGCGUUCAAUCGGUGUCUUCUCUAUUGAGACCUUGAAGUACAUAUUGAUACAUUUUUAAAGGCUUUCCAAAGCCAUAAGAUGGUACGUUUUAAUAAAUACAUUUUUGUUUAUUUGGCCUUUCAAUUCUUAUGUUCAGACUCAGAUUUUUUUCCUCCAUGCAUUUAUAAUUGCUUUAUUUGGUAACAUUGACACUUUGCCUAUAAUAAAAUCAAAUGUUUUCCCAACUCGCAAAAUUGAGACAGCUUCAGCAGAAUUUUGUAAUCCCAGCUGUAGAGGCCUUUAAAGUCAUAGCACCUGGUAGGGUAUUCAUUGUGUCAGCUAUUGUACACUUUAGUACAAGCUAUAAAUGCUGUUACGUUUCACUUUAACUCUCAUCUUAGCUUUAUCACAUUUCUGUAAAGCAAGAAAUAAAUCAGUAAAUUGAAUUUGAGUGGAAAAUAUAUAAUGAAAAACAUUUGUAUUAUGUUGAAAUACUCUUUAAAACCAUCUGGGUUGGUGUUUAUGUUUUCAUAAAGGCACUCCCAUUUUGAUAUCUGUUCACCACAACAACUUAUGGUUUGUAUUCAGUCCACACCCCUGUUUCAGGACAUGACUCAUACGUUCUAGCCACUGCCUUCUGAAUGCCUGAUUCUAAAUGCCAUGCUGAAUAUGGAUGGAAAAUAAAAGGCAGUUGUUUCUGUCAAAAUAGGAA